CUAUUCAAUCUCAUACUCCUUGCAAAAACCAUUCUCCAUUAGCUAUUGAUUCUGUUUCUUCCUCUCAUUGUACAUACCAUUCUGAAUUGAAUAAAAUGGAGAUUUUAUGGCAUAAUAGACUAGGACAUAUACCUUUUAUCAGAAUGAAGUACAUUCCUUCUAUUCCAUGCAAAUUUGCAAAUAAACAACCUUUCAUAUGUACUAUUUUCCCAUUAGCUAGACAAUCUAGACUGCCAUUUCAUGACAGUUCAUUAAGACAACACAUGCUUUUCAACUCAUUCAUGUAGAUACCUGAGGUCCUUAUGCCACCUCCACUAAUAAUGGUUGUAAAUAUUUUCUAACCAUAGUUGAUGACUUUACUAGAGCUACCUGGACUCACUUUAUGGGGUCCAAGAGCAAUGUCUUUCCUCUCAUCAAGGCUUUUAUUGCCAUGAUCAAAACUCAAUUCCAGACUGUUGUGCAAACCAUUAGGAGUGAUAAUGCCUUUAAUAUAAUCGUUUCUCUCUCUGCUAGAAAAAACUCAAUUCCAGACUGUUGUGCAAACCAUUAGGAGUGACAAUGCCUUUGAACUUGGAUCUAGUAGUUCUGGCUGCAAUUUCUUUGCUGAAAAUGGAAUCCUACACCAAACUUCUUGCUCUCAUACACCACAACAAAAUUGUGUGGUUGAAAGAAAGCAUAGAUAUCUACCGGAAACAUCCAGAGCCUUACUCUUUCAUUCCCAACUCCCCUUAGAUUCUGGGGUGAUUGUGUGCUUACUGCAACCUAUCUCAUAAACAGAUUUCCUUCCAAACUUUCAUUCCCAACUCCCCCUUAGAUUCUGGGGUGAUUGUGUGCUUACUGCAACCUAUCUCAUAAACAGAUUCCCUUCCAAACUACUUAACAAUGUAUCCCCUUUUGAGUUGCUUUUUGGACAGACCCCCUCUUACAACCAUCUUAAAACCUUUGGGUGUCUUUGUUUUGCUUCUGUUCCCAAGCAACAAAGGGACAAAUUUCAGCCUAGGACUGAUCCUUGUGUUUUUCUGGGAUAUCCUUUGGGUAAAAAGGGGUACAAGAUGUACAACUUGAAGACUAAACUGACACUAGUCUCCAGAGAUGUGGUCUUUCAUGAAGAUGUCUUUCCCUUUACCUCUUCAGGGAAUACCUCUUCUGUUUCUUCUUCUACUCUUAAUCCACCUCCUGUUCACUUUCUUCCUACUGAUGAUUCCUUACCCAAUCCUUCUUCUUCACCUUCUUCCUCAUCUGUACCUCCUCUUUCUCCCUCCUACCUUCUCCUUCUUUGCACCAUCCUCCUCCUGUAGCUACUACUCCUGCUCUUAGAAGGUUUAGCAAGACUCACAUUCCUCCUGCUGCUUAUCUCCAACAGUAUGUCUGCAAUCUCCAACAGUAUGUCUGCAAUCUCCAUCCCUCUCUUGUUGGCUCCAGUUCUUCUUCCACUUGUCUUCACAGUUUGGUUAACAGUGCACAGGUUGAGCCUACUUCUUAUCAGCAGGCUCCAUGUCUCCCUGCAUGGCAGGAGGCAAUGACAAAGGAGUUUGCAGCUUUAGAGGAUAAUCACACU
rnacentral:lncRNA from 1 species